rnacentral:lncRNA from 1 species
UAUUUUUUUUUAAAAAAAGAAGGACAAUCAACACUUUUGGCCAAAGGGCAAAAAAAAAAAGUAUUCAGCGACUGUAAAUGAGAUGAGAUAGUACAGAUUUGUCUGCUUCUACUUUAUGAUCCUUGCCCCUAACUAAUACUGAGAUUCUCUCCCUGUAUGGUUGAAGUACACCUAGACGGACUGUGCACAGUGAUAUUUCUACCACAUAGGAGGAAGAAUUCCUUCUUCUCCCCUCCUGCUUGACUGCUAAGGCAAGAGCUUCCCGCGCAGUGGAAACCAAGAAACAUUGGGAUUCUGGAAUGAGAAUUUUUCAUUUCUUGAAGUCAACUGGCCCAGAUGUCUGACAGGUACUGGUGGAAGUCUUGAGAAAGUUCUUUUGCGGGGCAGGACUCUGGAACAU